ensembl:snoRNA SNORA73 Small nucleolar RNA SNORA73 family
CCAACAUGGAUAUCCUGGGAGGUCACUCUCCCCAGGUUCUGUCCUGGUGGCGUAGGGGAGCACAGGGCUCUGGCCUAGGAUGUACAGUCCCUUUCCACAAUGUUGGAGAUAAAGCUGGGCCUUGAGUCUGCACCUGCAUAUUCCUAUGACUUCUCAGAGUCCUGUGGUAGAUGACUGAGGAGAUAAACCAUGCAGGAAACAUUA